rnacentral:sRNA from 12 species
GGCAGGCAUGCGCGGGAGAAACCUCUGGUCGCUCUGGCAGCGGCAGCCCUUCGGGGUGGGAUCCUGAGGCCCGGGGCCUGCCCUAGU